AUUGAACGCUGGCGGAAUGCUUUACACAUGCAAGUCGAACGAUGAAGUCUAGCUUGCUAGACGGAUUAGUUGCGAACGGGUGAGUAAUAUAUCGGAACGUAUCCAUUAAUGGGGGAUAACUAGACGAAAGAUUGGAUAAUACCGCAUACGUCCUACGGGAGAAAGCUAGGGACCUUCGGGCCUGGCGUUAAUGGAGCGGCCGAUAUCUGAGUAGCUAGUUGGUGAGGUAAAGGCUCACCAAGGCGACGAUCAGUAGCUGGUCUGAGAGGACGACCAGCCACACUUGAGCUGAGACACGGUCCAGACUCCUACGGGAGGCAGCAGUGGGGAAUUUUGGACAAUGGGCGCAAGCCUGAUCCAGCCAUUCCGCGUGAGUGAAGAAGGCCUUCGGGUUGUAAAGCUCUUUCGCAAGGGAAGAAAACUUACCCUCUAACAUAGGGUGAGGAUGACGGUACCUUGAUAAGAAGCACCGGCUAACUACGUGCCAGCAGCCGCUGUAAUAC
rnacentral:rRNA from 1 species